UCCGUAGGUGGAUAAUUAAGUCAGAGGUGAAAGUUUGCAGCUCAACUGUAAAAUUGCCUUUGAUACUGGUUAUCUUGAGUUAUUGUGAAGUAGUUAGAAUAUGUAGUGUAGCGGUAAAAUGCAUAGAUAUUACAUAGAAUACCAAUUGCGAAGGCAGAUUACUAACAAUAUACUGACACUGAUGGACGAAAGCGUGGGUAGCGAACAGGAUUAGAUACCCUGGUAGUCC
rnacentral:rRNA from 1 species